AACGAACGCUGGCGGCAUGCCUAACACAUGCAAGUCGAACGAAACCUUCGGGUCUAGUGGCGCUCGUGUGCGUAACGCGUGGUAACCUACCCUUAGGUUCGGAAUAACUCCCCGAAAGGUGUGCUAAUACCGCAUAAUCUCUUCGGACCAAAGAUUUAUCGCCUUUGGGUGGGCGCGCGUUGGAUUAGCUGGUUGGUAGGGUAAAAGCCUACCAAGGCGACGAUCCAUAGCUGGUCGGAGAGGAUGAUCAGCCACAAUGGGACUGCGACACGGCCCAGACCGCGACGGGAGGGAGCAGUGGGGAAUAUUAGACAAGGGGCGAAAGUCUGACCCAGCAAUGCCGGGUGAGUGAUGAAGGCCGUAGGGUUGCAAAGCCCCUUUACACGGGAUGAUAAUGACGGUACCGGGAGAAUAAGCACCGGCUAACUACGUG
rnacentral:rRNA from 1 species